AUUAGCGGAUGACUUGUGGCUGGGGGUGAAAGGCCAAUCAAACCGGGAGAUAGCUGGUUCUCCCCGAAAGCUAUUUAGGUAGCGCCUCGUGAAUUCAUCUCCGGGGGUAGAGCACUGUUUCGGCAAGGGGGUCAUCCCGACUUACCAACCCGAUGCAAACUGCGAAUACCGGAGAAUGUUAUCACGGGAGACACACGGCGGGUGCUAACGUCCGUCGUGAAGAGGGAAACAACCCAGACCGCCAGCUAAGGUCCCAAAGUCAUGGUUAAGUGGGAAACGAUGUGGGAAGGCCCAGACAGCCAGGAUGUUGGCUUAGAAGCAGCCAUCAUUUAAAGAAAGCGUAAUAGCUCACUGGUCGAGUCGGCCUGCGCGGAAGAUGUAACGGGGCUAAACCAUGCACCGAAGCUGCGGCAGCGACACUAUGUGUUGUUGGGUAGGGGAGCGUUCUGUAAGCCUGUGAAGGUGGCCUGUGAGGGUUGCUGGAGGUAUCAGAAGUGCGAAUGCUGACAUAAGUAACGAUAAAGCGGGUGAAAAGCCCGCUCGCCGGAAGACCAAGGGUUCCUGUCCAACGUUAAUCGGGGCAGGGUGAGUCGACCCCUAAGGCGAGGCCGAAAGGCGUAGUCGAUGGGAAACAGGUUAAUAUUCCUGUACUUGGUGUUACUGCGAAGGGGGGACGGAGAAGGCUAUGUUGGCCGGGCGACGGUUGUCCCGGUUUAAGCGUGUAGGCUGGUUUUCCAGGCAAAUCCGGAAAAUCAAGGCUGAGGCGUGAUGACGAGGCACUACGGUGCUGAAGCGACAAAUGCCCUGCUUCCAGGAAAAGCCUCUAAGCAUCAGGUAACAUCAAAUCGUACCCCAAACCGACACAGGUGGUCAGGUAGAGAAUACCAAGGCGCUUGAGAGAACUCGGGUGAAGGAACUAGGCAAAAUGGUGCCGUAACUUCGGGAGAAGGCACGCUGAUAUGUAGGUGAAGCGACUUGCUCGUGGAGCUGAAAUCAGUCGAAGAUACCAGCUGGCUGCAACUGUUUAUUAAAAACACAGCACUGUGCAAACACGAAAGUGGACGUAUACGGUGUGACGCCUGCCCGGUGCCGGAAGGUUAAUUGAUGGGGUUAGCGGUAACGCGAAGCUCUUGAUCGAAGCCCCGGUAAACGGCGGCCGUAACUAUAACGGUCCUAAGGUAGCGAAAUUCCUUGUCGGGUAAGUUCCGACCUGCACGAAUGGCGUAAUGAUGGCCAGGCUGUCUCCACCCGAGACUCAGUGAAAUUGAACUCGCUGUGAAGAUGCAGUGUACCCGCGGCAAGACGGAAAGACCCCGUGAACCUUUACUAUAGCUUGACACUGAACAUUGAGCCUUGAUGUGUAGGAUAGGUGGGAGGCUUUGAAGUGUGGACGCCAGUCUGCAUGGAGCCGACCUUGAAAUACCACCCUUUAAUGUUUGAUGUUCUAACGUGGGCCCCUUACCGGGGUUGCGGACAGUGUCUGGUGGGUAGUUUGACUGGGGCGGUCUCCUCCUAAAGAGUAACGGAGGAGCACGAAGGUUGGCUAAUCCUGGUCGGACAUCAGGAGGUUAGUGCAAUGGCAUAAGCCAGCUUGACUGCGAGCGUGACGGCGCGAGCAGGUGCGAAAGCAGGUCAUAGUGAUCCGGUGGUUCUGAAUGGAAGGGCCAUCGCUCAACGGAUAAAAGGUACUCCGGGGAUAACAGGCUGAUACCGCCCAAGAGUUCAUAUCGACGGCGGUGUUUGGCACCUCGAUGUCGGCUCAUCACAUCCUGGGGCUGAAGUAGGUCCCAAGGGUAUGGCUGUUCGCCAUUUAAAGUGGUACGCGAGCUGGGUUUAGAACGUCGUGAGACAGUUCGGUCCCUAUCUGCCGUGGGCGCUGGAGAACUGAGGGGGGCUGCUCCUAGUACGAGAGGACCGGAGUGGACGCAUCACUGGUGUUCGGGUUGUCAUGCCAAUGGCACUGCCCGGUAGCUAAAUGCGGAAGAGAUAAGUGCUGAAAGCAUCUAAGCACGAAACUUGCCCCGAGAUGAGUUCUCCCUGACUCCUUGAGAGUCCUGAAGGAACGUUGAAGACGACGACGUUGAUAGGCCGGGUGUGUAAGCGCAGCGAUGCGUUGAGCUAACCGGUACUAAUGAACCGUGAGGCUUAACCUUACAACGCCGAAG
rnacentral:rRNA from 1 species